CACCAGCGCCACAAGUGGGGGCCGCAUUUAUUUGGCCUAAAGCGUCCGUAGCAGGUUCUGUAAAUCUCUUGUGAAAUUGUGAGUCUCAAGCUUACAACGUGCAGGAGACACUGCAAAACUAGGGACCGGGAGAGGUUAGGAGUAUUCUUGGGGGAGCGGUAAAAUGUUAUAAUCCCAAGAAGACUACCAGUGGCGAAGGCGCCUAACCAGAACGGGUCUGACUGUGAGGGACGAAAGCCAGGGGAGCGAUCCG
rnacentral:rRNA from 1 species